UCCUACGGGAGGCAGCAGUGGGGAAUAUUGCACAAUGGGCGCAAGCCUGAUGCAGCCAUGCCGCGUGUAUGAAGAAGGCCUUCGGGUUGUAAAGUACUUUCAGCGGGGAGGAAGGUGUUGUGGUUAAUAACCACAACAAUUGACGUUACCCGCAGAAGAAGCACCGGCUAACUCCGUGCCAGCAGCCGCGGUAAUA
rnacentral:rRNA from 1 species